GACCAGACUCCUACGGGAGGCAGCAGUGGGGGAUAUUGCACAAUGGGGGAAACCCUGAUGCAGCGACGCCGCGUGGGCGAAGAAGUAUUUCGGUAUGUAAAGCCCUCUCAGCAGGGAAGAAGAAAUGACGGUACCUGAGUAAGAAGCACCGGCUAAAUACGUGCCAGCAGCCGCGGUAAUACGUAUGGUGCAAGCGUUAUCCGGAUUUACUGGGUGUAAAGGGAGCGCAGGCGGCACGGCAAGCCUGAUGUGAAAACCCGGGGCUCAACCCCGGGACUGCAUUGGAAACUGUCAGGCUAGAGUGUCGGAGAGGCAAGUGGAAUUCCUAGUGUAGCGGUGAAAUGCGUAGAUAUUAGGAGGAACACCAGUGGCGAAGGCGGCUUGCUGGACGAUGACUGACGUUGAGGCUCGAAAGCGUGGGGAGCAAACAGGAUUAGAUACCCCCGUA
rnacentral:rRNA from 1 species